CUCCGGUUGAUCCUGCCGGACCCGACUGCUAUCAGAGUGGGACUAAGCCAUGCGAGUCAACAUAGCAAUAUGUGGCAUACGGCUCAGUAACACGUAGUCAACAUGCCCAGGGGACGUGGAUAACCUCGGGAAACUGAGGAUAAACCGCGAUAAGUCACUACUUCUGGAAUGGGUAAUGACUCAAAUCUACAUGGCCCCUGGAUUGGACUGCGGCCGAUCAGGCUGUUGGUGAGGUAAUGGCCCACCAAACCUGUAACCGGUACGGGCUCUGAGAGGAGGAGCCCGGAGAUGGGCACUGAGACAAGGGCCCAGGCCCUAUGGGGCGCAGCAGGCGCGAAACCUCUGCAAUAGGCGAAAGCUUGACAGGGUUACUCUGAGUGAUUUCCGUUAAGGAGAUCUUUUGGCACCUCUAAAAAUGGUGCAGAAUAAGGGGUGGGCAAGUCUGGUGUCAGCCGCCGCGGUAAUACCAGCACCCCGAGUGGUCGGGACGUUUAUUGGGCCUAAAGCAUCCGUAGCCGGUUCUACAAGUCUUCCGUUAAAUCCACCUGCUUAACAGAUGGGCUGCGGAAGAUACUAUAGAGCUAGGAGGCGGGAGAGGCAAGCGGUACUCGAUGGGUAGGGGUAAAAUCCGUUGAUCCAUUGAAGACCACCAGUGGCGAAGGCGGCUUGCCAGAACGCGCUCGACGGUGAGGGAUGAAAGCUGGGGGAGCAAACCGGAUUAGAUACCCGGGUAGUCCCAGCUGUAAACGAUGCAGACUCGGUGAUGAGUUGGCUUAUUGCUAACUCAGUGCCGCAGGGAAGCCGUUAAGUUUGCCGCCUGGGGAGUACGGUCGCAAGACUGAAACUUAAAGGAUUGGCGGGGGAGCA
rnacentral:rRNA from 1 species